rnacentral:lncRNA from 1 species
CUGAAAGUGGCAUUUGAGAGAGAAGAUACUUCCUCUCGUAGUGGACACUUGUCUUUUCAGAAGAUUUAUACGACUGAGAGUCAAAACUUUUACCAGAGACUUUCAUAGUCAGUUUGAAUUCUGCAAAAUUUCUCUUUAUCUUCUGGAAUGUAUGCUCUAGACUUGGAGUGGCUCAAGCUCUUCGAUGUGAUCCUAUCAAUGUCAAGAGAAAGAAGCACUGAAGAGUCAUAAUUGUGUCCUGAUUUAUAAAUCGGAGACAGAGGGAGACGAAAACCACACUCCAGAAAGUAGCUUAAUCGGACUCACUACUAAGAUGUUAAAAGUGAAGAGGCUGGAAGAAUUCAACACGUGUUAUAACAGCAACCAGCUGGAGAAAAUGGCCUUUUUUCAGUGCAGGGAAGAGGUGGAGAAAGUGAAGUGUUUUCUGGAAAAAAAUUCUGGGGACCAGGAUUCAAGAUCUGGACAUAAUGAGCUUUCAUGCAGCUGUUGAGAAGUCCAAACAAGUUCAGAAUCCUGAUCUUUUGUGUGUGGCCUAUAUUUUCUCUCUCUAGCAACUUGGGAAACCUUCUAUUUGUCCUUGUAUUGGGAAAAGUUUCUGCCAGAACCAAGAACCACUGUCCACAGAGUCUUGCUCUGUCACCCAGGCUGGAGUGCGGUGGUGUGAUCUUGGCUCACUGCAACCUCUGCCCCCCAAGUUCAAGCGAUUCUCCUGCCUUGGCCUCCCGAGUAGCUGGGACUACAGAUGGAAUCUUGCUGUGUCUCCAGGCUGGAGUGUAGUGGCGCGAUCUCGGCUCACUGCAACCUCUGCCUCCCGGGUUCAAGCAAUUCUCCUGCCUCAGCCUCCCGAGUAGCUGGGACUACAGGUGCCAGCCAUCACGCCCGGCUAAUUUUUUGUAUUUUUAGUAGAGAUGGGGUUUCACCAUGUUGGCCAGGAUGGUCUCGAUCUCCUGACCUCGUGAUCUACCCGCCUCAGCCUCCCAAAGUGCUGGGAUUAUAGGCGUGAGCCACCGCGCCCAGCCUAGUCUCUGCUUUUUUAAAAAAAAUGUUAGGACAGUGGUCCCUAAACUUGUCUGUGUAUUAGAAUCACCUGGGAAAUCUUUAAAAAUUCUAAGGACCAGGUAAAUUAAAUUAUAAUCUCUGGGAAUAGGACUGAUUUUUGUAUUUUUAGUAGAGACGGGGUUUUGCCAUGUUCACCAGGCUGGUCUCGAACUCCUGACCUCAGGUGAUCCACCCGCCUCAGCCUCCCAAAGUGUUGGGAUUACAGGUGUGAGCCACCACAUCCAGCCCAGACUAAUUUUUCUGAUGACAAAUGCUGCUUGUUGAUGUGAAUUCUGAUAUGGCACACACUUGAGCCUCACUUUGUUAGCUAUUAAUUUGUGUUACUGAAUUUACAGGCCUGGAAUACAAUUUGUGCUUCUUUUUAAAUAAAUUUCAUACUUUUUUUUUAAUGGACUU